rnacentral:rRNA from 1 species
CAGCAGCCGCGGGAAUACGAGGGGAGCUAGCGUUGUUCGGAAUUACUGGGCGUAAAGCGCGCGUAGGCGGCUUUUUAAGUCAGAGGUGAAAGCCCGGGGCUCAACCCCGGAAUCGCCUUGAAACUGGAAAGCUAGAAUCUUGGAGAGGUCAGUGGAAUUCCGAGUGUAGAGGUGAAAUUCGUAGAUAUUCGGAAGAACACCAGUGGCGAAGGCGACUGACUGGACAAGUAUUGACGCUGAGGUGCGAAAGCGUGGGGAGCAAACAGGAUUAGAUACCCGGGUAGUCCCUGUCUCUUAUACC